AUGACGUGGAGCCGCACGGCCGUGUCUGCUGGGGCAGGAACACCCAGUCAGAUAACGUGGUCGUCGCCUGCCUGGUCCAGGGCUUCUUCCCCCAGGAGCCACUCAACGUGACCUGGAGCAAAAGUGGAGCGGACGUGACUGUCAUAAACUUCCCGCCCAGCCAGGACGCCUCUGGCGGCCUGUACACCACGAGCAGCCAGCUGACCCUGCCGGCCGCACAGUGCCCAGCCAGCGAGUCCGUGACAUGCCACGUGGAGCACUACACAAAUCCCAGCCAGGAUGUGGCUGUGCCCUGCGUUCCCCCAAUCACACCCCCAUGUCCCUCAUGCUGCGAGCCCCGACUGUCGCUGCGCCGGCCGGCCCUCGAGGACCUGCUCCUAGGUUCAGAAGCGAACCUCACGUGCACACUGACAGGCCUGAAAGAUCCCUCGGGUGCCACCUUCACCUGGACGCCCUCAAGUGGGAAGAACGCUGUCCAACAGUCACCUAAGCGUGACCCCUGUGGCUGCUACAGUGUGUCCAGUGUCCUGCCCGGCUGUGCCGAGCCAUGGAACAAUAGGGAGACCUUCACCUGCACUGCUGAUCACCCUGAGUUGGAGACCCCGCUAACCGCCACCAUCUCAAAAUCCGGAAACACAUUCCGGCCCGAGGUCCACCUGCUGCCGCCGCCGUCGGAGGAGCUGGCCCUGAACGAGCUGGUGACGCUGACGUGCCUGGCACGCGGCUUCAGCCCCGAGGACGUGCUGAUUCGCUGGCUGAAGGGAACAGAACAGCUGCCCCGUGACAAGUACCUGACUUGGGAAUCCCGGAAGGAGCCCAGCCAGGGCACCACCACCUUCGCCGUGACCAGCAUACUUCGCGUGGCAGCCGAGGACUGGAAGAAGGGGGACACCUUCUCCUGCAUGGUGGGCCACGAGGCCCUGCCGCUGGCCUUCACACAGAAGACCAUCGACCGCCUGGCGGGUAAACCCACCCACGUCAAUGUGUCUGUGGUCAUGGCGGAAGUGGACGGCACCUGCUACUGA